rnacentral:lncRNA from 1 species
CAUAUUCUCUUAUUUGAAAUGGGGUGAAUUUCAGUCACUUGUGACUUGAGGGAAAUUAAACUAAACGUUUUUUUCUUGAAGAUUUAACUUGAGGGAUUUCUGGUGCCACUUUGGGGACUUCCACCUGGAUGGGAAAAUCUUCUCCCACACGGGGGAUUUUCCUUCCGGUCGGGGCAUUGGCUCCCACUGAAAAAGUGUUUCUCUCCAUUGAGGGAUUUUCUCUCAU